rnacentral:rRNA from 1 species
GUAGGUGGCAAGCGUUGUCCGGGAAUUAUUGGGGCGUAAAGCGCGCGCAGGUGGUUCUUUAAGUCUGAUGUGAAAGCCCCCGGGCUCAACCGGGGGAGGGGUCAUUGGAAACUGGGGAACUUGAGUGCAGGAGAGGAAAGUGGAAUUCCACGUGUAGCGGUGAAAUGCGUAGAUAUGUGGAGGAACACCAGUGGCGAAGGCGACUUUCUGGCCUGUAACUGACACUGAGGCGCGAAAGCGUGGGGAGCAAACAGGAUUAGAUACCCUGGUAGUCCACGCCGUAAACGAUGAGUGCUAAGUGUUGGGGGGUUUCCGCCCAUCAGUGCUGCAGCUAACGCAUUAAGCACUCCGCCUGGGGAGUACGGUCGCAAAGACUGA